rnacentral:sRNA from 1 species
GCGCAUUUGUAUGGUCCCUCUUUGGGCCCC